UUGUUCCUACGGGAGGCAGCAGUGGGGAAUAUUGCACAAUGGGGGAAACCCUGAUGCAGCGACGCCGCGUGAGUGAAGAAGUAUCUCGGUACGUAAAGCUCUAUCAGCAGGAAAGAAAAUGACGGUACCUGACUAAGAAGCCCCGGCUAACUACGUGCCAGCAGCCGCGGUAAUACGUAGGGGGCAAGCGUUAUCCGGAUUUACUGGGUGUAAAGGGAGCGUAGACGGCGCUGCAAGUCCGGAGUGAAAGCCCAUGGCUUAACCAUGGUACUGCUCUGGAGACUGUAGAGCUUGAGUGCGGUAGG
rnacentral:rRNA from 1 species